GGCACAAUGGCUUAGUGGUUAACACGCUUGUCUCACACCUCCAAGGGUUGAGUUUCGAUUACUGCUUCUGUCC